CUACGGGAGGCUGCAGUGAGGAAUAUUGCACAAUGGGGGGAACCCUGAUGCAGCAACGCCGCGUGGAGGAUGACGCAUUUCGGUGUGUAAACUCCUUUUAUAUGUCAAGAAAAUGACGGUAGCAUAUGAAUAAGCGCCGGCUAACUCCGUGCCAGCAGCCGCGGUAAUACGGAGGGCGCAAGCGUUACUCGGAAUCACUGGGCGUAAAGGACGCGUAGGCGGGUUGAAAAGUCAGGUGUGAAAGCCUACAGCUUAACUGUAGAACCGCACUUGAAACUCUCAACCUAGAGUAUGGGAGGGGCAGAUGGAAUUAGUGGUGUAGGGGUAAAAUCCGUAGAUAUCACUAGGAAUACCUAAAGCGAAGGCGAUCUGCUGGAACAUUACUGACGCUAAGGCGUGAAAGCGUGGGGAGCAAACAGGAUUAGAUACCCUGGUAGUC
rnacentral:rRNA from 1 species